rnacentral:lncRNA from 1 species
GGAUCUGGGUUUCAAUAAUUUUACUGGGGAGAUACCAUCAUCUUUUUUCCUACUAAUUCCUGCAGAAUACAUUAUUCUGACAGAAAAUAAGCUUACUGGACCUAUGCCUAGAUGGGUGUUGUCAAGCCCCAGGAACGUGGAUGUUUCAUACAAUAAUUUUACAUGGGAUGAUGCUACUGCUCCAAAAAAGUGCGACCAGAAUGUAGUGUAA